rnacentral:rRNA from 1 species
GAUGAACGCUGGCGGCGUGCCUAAUACAUGCAAGUCGAGCGAACGGAGGAGAAUCUUGCUUCUCUGAUGUUAACGGCGGACGGGUGAUGAACACGUGGAUAACCUACCUAUAAGACUGGGAUAAGUUCGGGAAACCGGAGCUAAUACCGGAUGAGAUUUUGAACCGCAUGGUUCAAAAGUCAAAAACGUACUUGCUGUCACUUAUAGAUGGACGCUCGCUGCAUUAGCUAGUUGGUAAGGUAACGGCUUACCAAGGCAACGAUGCAUAGCCGACCUGAGAGGGUGAUCGGCCACACUGGAACUGAGACACGGUCCAGACUCCUACGGGAGGCAGCAGUAGGGAAUCUUCCGCAAUGGGCGAAAGCCUGACGGAGCAACGCCGCGUGAGUGAUGAAGGUCUUCGGAUCGUAAAACUCUGUUAUUAGGGAAGAAGAUAUGUGUAAGUAACUGUUCACAUCUUGACGUUACCUACUCAGAAAGCCACGGCUAACUACGUG